rnacentral:rRNA from 1 species
ACUUUGUACUGAAAAAAUUAUGAAUAAACAAAUUCAAAAUACAACUUUCAACAACGGAUCCUUGGCUCUCGCAUCGAUGAAGAACGCAGCGAAAUGCGAUACGUAAUGUGAAUUGCAGAAUUCAGUGAAUCAUCGAAUCUUUGAACGCAUAUUGCGCUCUUUGGUAUUCCGAAGAGCAUGCUUGUUUGAGUAUCAGUAAACACCUCAAAGCCUUUUUCUUUUUGAAGAAAGGCUUUGGACUUGAGCAAUCCCAACACCAAUCUUUUAAAGAGAGGGGGCGGGUUGCUUGAAAUGCAGGUGCAGCUGGACAUUCUCCUGAGCUAAAAGCAUAUUCAUUUAGUCCCGUCAAACGGAUUAUUACUUUUGCUGCAGCUAAUAUAAAGGGAGUUUGACCAUUUUGGCUGACUGAUGCAGGAUUUUCACAAGAGUCUUCAAAACCUCUUGUUAAACUCGAUCUCAAAUCAAGUAAGACUACCCGCUGAACUUAA